UGUAGGUAUGCCCUCUCUCCUCGUAUUAGGAUCAGAAGAAUAGCUGUUAAGGAAAAUACCUUGUAUGACAUUUUCAUCACCUCCACUAGGAAGUUAACUAAUAGAACUUCUGGCCUGCUACUUGACACUGUGGAUAUACAGACAACAAAACUCUGA